AUAGUAUUAUUUCUUAUUCAAAUGAUAAAAAUUCUUUACAUUUGCUUUGUAGUAUUGGUUGUGUGAGCACACAUUGAUCAUCCACCCUGAAGUUAGCGAAGCAUGCCCAAGGGUGAUCAAGUGGAAUCUUAUCAAAUAACAUAAACGUAUGAAAGUCAUAUCACUACAUCAGCUGACAACAAGACAGGUCACAUCCUCAUCUCAUUUGAAUUUCAAUUCAAGUAACUACUGCUCAAUUCAGUGAGGAAAGUGAUGAAGAACUUGAUGACACUGAAGAAGAACAAAAAGAAGAUGCUGAAAAUACUGAAGAAGAAGAACAAGAAGAUGCUGAAAAAGAAGAUGCUGAAGAAGAAGAACAAAAAGUACAAGAACAAACUUUCAGAUCAAACAUGGUGACAAUAGUGAAGCUAUUACAGCACAUCAAACUCAGGAAUGAGCAUAUUAAUGGCUUGAUGAAAACCCCAUUUUGGGCAUUGUUUGAUACAAUAUUGAAAAACAAGAUGAAUUGUAAACAAUGCAGAAAAUAUGAUGACAUUUCAUUGAAAAUAAUUCAAACUUACUAGCCAGGCAGUAGUGGUUCUUUCCAGUUAAGACCAGAAACUGUAAAUCUAACAAUAGAAGACAUCAAGCCCAUCUUCGGUAUAUCUUGUGGAGAUGAGCCGAUACAUCUUGGUUAUGGAAAUAAAAGCAGAUCAUCAUUUCUGACAAGAAGAUGCAUACAAACUGAAAGGCUAUCGAGCACAACCAUCACCAACUUGUUGCAAAAAGCAUUGAAAGGCAAGAAGAAAGAAGACAAUGAAGAUGUGAUAAAGAUGUUGUGUAUAUAUACUUGUUUGAAGCUUUUUUUCUCUACAUCAGGAACACACUGAUGUCUUCAAUUGAAAAAUACCACAAAAAUCCAGCAAAAGUCACAGGAUGUGUUAUGGC